UUCGCCCUUAGAGUUUGAUCCUGGCUCAGGACGAACGCUGGCGGCGCGCCUAACACAUGCAAGUCGAACGGAGCUUAGAGAGCUUGCUUUUUAAGCUUAGUGGCGAACGGGUGAGUAACGCGUGAGUAACCUGCCCUAGAGUGGGGGACAACAGUUGGAAACGACUGCUAAUACCGCAUAAGCCCACGGUGCCGCAUGACACUGAGGGAAAAGGAUUUAUUCGCUUUAGGAUGGACUCGCGUCCAAUUAGCUAGUUGGUGAGGUAACGGCCCACCAAGGCGACGAUUGGUAGCCGGACUGAGAGGUUGAACGGCCACAUUGGGACUGAGACACGGCCCAGACUCCUACGGGAGGCAGCAGUGGGGGAUAUUGCACAAUGGGGGAAACCCUGAUGCAGCGACGCCGCGUGGAGGAAGAAGGUUUUCGGAUUGUAAACUCCUGUCGUUAGGGACGAUAAUGACGGUACCUAACAAGAAAGCACCGGCUAACUACGUGCCAGCAGCCGCGGUAAAACGUAGGGUGCAAGCGUUGUCCGGAAUUACUGGGUGUAAAGGGAGCGCAGGCGGGAAGACAAGUUGGAAGUGAAAACCAUGGGCUCAACCCAUGAAUUGCUUUCAAAACUGUUUUUCUUGAGUAGUGCAGAGGUAGAUGGAAUUCCCGGUGUAGCGGUGGAAUGCGUAGAUAUCGGGAGGAACACCAGUGGCGAAGGCGGUCUACUGGGCACCAACUGACGCUGAGGCUCGAAAGCAUGGGUAGCAAACAGGAUUAGAUACCCUGGUAGUCCAUGCCGUAAACGAUGAUUACAAGGUGUUGGGGGGAUUGACCCCCCUCAGUGCUGUAGUUAACACAAUAAGUUAUCCUCUUGGGGAGUACGACGGCAAGGUUGAAAUUCAAAGGAAUUGACGGGGGCCCGCACAAGCAGUGGAGUAUGUGGUUUAAUUUCGAAGCAACGCGAAGAACCUUACCAGGUCUUGACAUCCGAUGCAUAGCACAGAGAUGUGUGAAAUCCUUCGGGACAUCGAGACAGGUGGUGCAUGGUUGUCGUCAGCUCGUGUCGUGAGAUGUUGGGUUAAGUCCCGCAACGAGCGCAACCCUUAUUGCCAGUUACUACGUUAAGAGGACUCUGGCGAGACUGCCGUUGACAAAACGGAGGAAGGUGGGGAUGACGUCAAAUCAUCAUGCCCUUUAUGACCUGGGCUACACACGUAGUACAAUGGCGUUAAACAAAGAGAAGCAAGACCGCGAGGUGGAGCAAAACUCAAAAACAACGUCUCAGUUCAGAUUGCAGGCCGCAACUCGCCUGCAUGAAGUCGGAAUUGCUAGUAAUCGCGGAUCAGCAUGCCGCGGUGAAUACGUUCCCGGCCCUUGCACACACCGCCCGUCA
rnacentral:rRNA from 1 species